rnacentral:tRNA from 4 species
UCCGGGAUCGUCUAAUGGUAGGACGCCAGGUUCUGGCCCUGGUAAUCUUGGUUCGAAUCCAGGUCCCGGAGCCA